GAAAUUUUGAAGGCCAGGAUUGUUUCCUAAUUUUUCCUCCGAGGGCCUAGGACUCGUCCUUUGGUAGGGCUAGGCCUAACCAUGGUUUGGUUUGAGCAUGGAGUUGGACUAGUCUAACCUAGAACUGGAUUGGUCUAACUUGGAACCAGAAACAGGCUGCAUUCUCUCUCCUAUUGAACUGGACCAGAAUCGGUCGGUUCUGUUCAAUCUGGUUCAGGGCCAAACCAGAUUUUUUUCCUUUUAAAGAAAAGGAAAAAUUUUGGGAAAAAUUUCAACUAUCGGAUUAGAUCAAAACCAGACCGGAUAGGAAUUGGGACCUGGGGUACCCUGUGGUCUGGUCUCAG
rnacentral:misc_RNA from 1 species